GCCCUUCUCAGCUCAGACUGAAAUCAUGCACAUUCCUAACUUUUCCCCCUGCUCACUCUCAUCGCUCUGUGUGAAUUUUAUUUAUUGGCCUGUCAAUUUUACUUCUCAGUCAGAUUGUGAGGAGAUGGUGACCCUAUGGAAGCAGCUGCCUCAUCCACCUUCAGUCAUAGCACCAUUGGACACAUUGGGUUCCAGACUAUCCUGCAAGGAUCAUGCCCUCCUGGGAAGCAGGUGGCUGUUGAGCUUGGUGAUCUUUCCCAAGGAUGGGGCAGAGGGGUUUCACCCUGGAGCACCAGGAGUACCAGCUGUGAUGAGCUGUGCUGUGCCAGGUCUGUCUCCAUUUGGCAUUUGAUGGGAACCACGGGCUUUGGAACAUUCUGCUUCUACCUGGACUCAGUUGUGGGAGCUACUUUGUGGGCAUGCAGACCUGCAAGACUCAAGAUGCACUGCACACCAGGCACUUAGCACCAUCAUCCUGGUGCUCCACUCUCAGAACAAAAGAAAGAUGGAGGCCUGUUGGACACAUGAAGAAGACCAAGCCCUGUGAGAAAGAAAUAUGAGAACAACCAACCCCAUAGGGAAAAUCAAUAUUUCAGAGCAGACGAUGAUGCCUCAAAAUAUGAACUGGUGUCUUCAGAGAAAUGAAAAGUUAUGGAAUCUGUAAUUUAAAAAGGGAUGCUAUGAAAAAGAAAUUACAUGGUAAAGAAGGAAGCUUAGAAAUUAAACAUGAUCACUUAAAUAAACAUUUUAAUAGGCUGGGCCA
rnacentral:lncRNA from 1 species